rnacentral:tRNA from 1 species
GGGAGUUUAGCUCAGUUGGGAGAGCAUCUGCCUUACAAGCAGAGGGUCAGCGGUUCGAGCCCGUUAACUCCC